rnacentral:rRNA from 1 species
AAUUUUGGACAAUGGGGGAAACCCUGAUCCAGCCAUCCCGCGUGUAUGAUUAAGGCCUUCGGUUUGUAAAGUACUUUUGGCAGAGAAGAAAAGGUAUCUCCAAAUACGAGAUACUGCUGACGGUACCUGAUGAAUAAGCACCGGCUAACUACGUGCCAGCAGCCGAGGUAAUCCGUAUGGUGCAAGCGUUAAUCGGAAUUACUGUGCGUAAAGCGUGUGUAGGAGGUUCGGAAAGAAAGAUGUGAAAUCCCAGGGCUCAACCUUGGAACUGCAUUUUUAACUGCCGAGCUAGAGUAUGUCAGAGGGGGGUAGAAUUCCACGUGUAGCAGUGAAAUGCGUAGAUAUGUGGAGGAAUACCGAUGGCGAAGGCAGCCCCCUGGGAUAAUACUGACGCUCAGACACGAAAGCGUGGGGAGCAAACAGG